UACGGAGGGUGCAAGCGUUAAUCGGAAUUACUGGGCGUAAAGCGCACGCAGGUGGCUGAGUCAGUCGAUUGUGAAAGCCCUGGGCUUAACCUGGGAAUUGCAGUCGAUACUACUCAGCUAGAGUAUGGGAGAGGGCAGUGGAAUUCCGCGUGUAGCAGUGAAAUGCGUAGAUAUGCGGAGGAACACCGAUGGCGAAGGCAAUCCCCUGGACCUGUACUGACGCUCAUGCACGAAAGCGUGGGGAGCAAACAGG
rnacentral:rRNA from 1 species